AUGUGCCUUUUUAAUCUUUUAUUUUUAGUGAUCUGAGUGUGUGUGUGUCUGCAUGGAAUAUGUUUGUGUGUGUACAGUGUCUCCAGGGGACAGGAGACAGCCUCAGAUCUUCUGGAGUAACAGGCAGUUGUGAGCUUUCUGAACUAGGUGCUGGGUUUGAACUGUGGCCUCUGUAAGAGCACUGUACAUUUCUAACCACUGAGCUGUGCCUCCCCAGGCUGGCCUCAAAGGCACAGUCUUCCUUCAGCAAGUCCUGCCUACAUGUGCCACCAAGACCAGAUGGAUACUCCUUUUCAACGAAAGAUUUUCUGUUACAGUUAAAGUGCUGCAUUGCUGGCUGUAUGCUAGAAAAAAAAAAAAACCAAAACAAAACAGUGUCUGUCUGUCCGUCCAUGUGAAACAUCUCUAUGCAGCCCUGACUGUCCUAGAACACUAUAUAAGUCAGCCUGGCCUUGAACUCACAGAGAUCCUUCUGCCUCUUCUGCCCAAGCCCUGGCACCACGGGUGUGCCAAGCACAGGAUGGCAGUUUCUAGUCUAUAGAGACUACAGUCAAGCUUCUAGCUGCUUUCCCCAUCUGCUUUCUUGUUAACUAGUUUAUCCGAUGGUGAUCUGGGUGUUAGCUGAAGCUGAGUGUCCAGUGUUUACUUAGAACUUCCCUGUUAUCAAAGUGGCUUCAAAGACAUGGACUCUUCUUCAGAGGCAGAGCAAAGGAGAAAUGUACCCUUAAAUAGGAGCGGAAGGUUAAUUUGAGGGAGAAAUGAAUUAAAAAUAAAAUGCACUACAGGUACUUCCUGGAACUCCUGACAUGGAAGCCAGUACAUAAGUGAUGUACCCCGGUCAGUCGGUAGACUGCUUACUGUGCACGGGUCAGCAGAGGCAGGAAGCUCAGGAGUUCUGUGUGGCUGCCUCGCUGACUUCUGGGUGGGCCACAGAACAUAGAGGGAGGUAGAAAGCGAACGGAGGCUGAUCGCUGUCCAGCUUUGCCCAAACUGUCUCUGGUUUAGUUCUUGGCGUGCGUGGCUCUCUUUUCCUUAGUGCUGACUUAACAGGUGUGUGUGUGUGUGUGUGUGUGUGUGUGUGUGUGUGUGACCUUUCCUUGUUGGCCACUCACUACGGCUUUCUGGAACGUGGCUCUCUGGGACCUUAAGCACCAGGAUUAAGACAGUUAAAUCUGCUGUCAGCUUGCCGGAUGUAAUCUUCCUGUUCAUUGUCCUGGCUUCCAGGGCCCCUCUUGUCUGGUGCUGUAUCUUUCGCUUGCAGUUGCUAGCUAUGGUGUAGCUGUCCUUCAAAGCAUUCAUCACUUGCUUGUUUUAAUUUUGUUUAAGCUCCUCGAAGAUGUACCGGAGCACCGGAAACACCGGAAAUGCUUUUCGAAGUUGAGGUUGUGUUUCGUGAAGCACUGGCCUCCCAGGCUGGGAGCAGAAAGGGUGCUGUGAUUUUCCUGGUUACUGUGGGUAGAAGAUAGGGCAAGGGACCGUCAUCUGUCACCUGCCUGAGUGCUCUUAUCUUUAAAAAUGCCAUCUAAACUAGUCUCUUCUGUCUGGGGACUAGCAGGAAUGGUGGCGUUGAGAGUGUUGCUUGAAAGAAAUUUAUCUACGGAAGCAGAAAAUGGUUUGAGCUUAUUUGCUGAAACUGCUAUUUGUGAGGAGCAAAACCUGGUAGGCUUUGUAAAUGGGUAAUUUCAGAGGCAAGCAAACGUGUUGCCAAAACAAUAUUUUGAAAACAAGCUACAUUUUGUAUUUUAGCUUUUUAUGUUUAUUUAUCAAAAUUAAUAUCAUCCUAGUGGUUCAGAAAUUCUUUCUGUUUCAUUUUUUUUUUUUUUUUUUUGCCAUAGGAUGGAUUCAUGAUAUAAGAAUUAAAAACCUUACAUAAUUUUGGUGCUGAGGCAGAGCUCUGCUCUGUGGUAGAGCCCUGCCCAGGAUGCUUAAAGCUUGUGAGUGUGAUCCCAUUGGCGGUGGGGUGGAAUGAGCCCAACCCCCAAACUCAAAACCAAAGCCACCAACCCACAAAACCACCUAGACCCAGAGACCUUGGGUAGUGUAAUAAACCCCACUUUCCACAGAGGCUCUGUGAGCAAAGAAAGCAAAGGUGCUUGCGGAAGGAAGUCCCCUUUGGAUGGCGGUUUAGGGCCUCGUCUCCUGCUGCUUCCUCCAACUGGAAAUGGAGUUUGGGUGGGAAGAAAGGUGGCUUUCCUGGGACGGUGGUCUCAGCUGUUUCUGUGGAAUCAGAGACGCAGAGAGAGCAAGAAAGCGAGAGAGCGAGAGAGAG
rnacentral:lncRNA from 1 species